rnacentral:rRNA from 1 species
CCUACGAGCGGCAGCAGUGGGGAAUAUUGGGCAAUGGGCGCAAGCCUGACCCAGCAACGCCGCGUGAAGGAAGAAGGCUUUCGGGUUGUAAACUUCUUUUCGCAGGGACGAAGAAAGUGACGGUACCUGAGGAAUAAGCCACGGCUAACUACGGGCCAGCAGCCGCGGUAAUACGUAGGUGGCAAGCGUUAACCGGAUUUACUGGGUGUAAAGGGCGUGUAGGCGGGACUGCAAGUCAGAUGUGAAAACCACGGGCUCAACCUGUGGCCUGCAUUUGAAACUGUAGUUCUUGAGUACUGGAGAGGCAGACGGAAUGCCUAGUGUAGCGGUGAAAUGCGUAGAUAGUAGGAGGAACACCAGUGGCGAAGGCAGUCUGCUGGACAGGAACUGACGCUGAGGCGCGAAAGCGUGGGGAGCAAACAGGAUUAGAUACCCCUGUAGUC